GAAAAAACCCCAAAAACUCACCAAAAAAACCCAAUAAAAACCACUAAAACCAGAGAAAUCCCAAAAAAUCCUCAACUUCCGACGCAUCAAAAUUGGAAUUCUCACCAUAAAAACCCGAAAUCACCAUGGAUUUUUCCAGGGCUUUUUUUUCAGGAAGCAAAACAUUCCCUGAAUUAAACUCCAGAACCUCUCCCUCCCCCGCAAAACCUGGAAAAACCCUCGGAACCGCGACAGAGGGGCGGAUUUAGAGGGAAUUUUUAUAAUUCCCGGCGGGAAUUCCGGAGAUUUUGAUUUUUUUUUCUAAAAAAAUUCCCGGCACCUGGAUUGCGCGGAUCCUCCUGGAGCCGGAUCUCGGCGGGAUGGAGGCAGCUGGGGUUCCUCCAGGCCCAGUCGGCCAGGGCGGAGAUGUUGUUGAUCUGGGCCUGGAUGUCGUAGAGCAGCGUGGCCUGGAUGUGCUGGAGCGUGCUGGAUUCCCGGGAAUGCUGCUCCAGCUCCUGCACCCUCUGGAGAAGGCUCUGGUUCUGAGCCGCCUCCUCCUCCUCCUGCUGCCGGGGCGGGGGAAAAAAUUCCAGGGGAAAAAACAAAAAUUCCAGGGGAAAAACGGGGUUGGGAAUGAGUGGGGCGGAAGAUUCCAGAAUGUCAUCUCAUGGAAUUCUCAUCCCGCGGCUUCAUGGGGGGUUUGGAUAUUCCCGGGAUUCCACCGAGGGAGGGGGAGGUUGGGAAUGUGGGAAUCUCUUCCCGUCAUUUUGGGGAUAUUCCGGCUCGGCCCGUUCCGUGGGAGUGAUCCGGCCUUUCCAUGGGUGCUCCCAGGGAUUCUCUGGGAAUUUCAGCCCGGCAGGGAAUUCCUUCCCAAGAUCCCAAAAGCCCAAAAUCCCGAAAUCCCAAAAUCCCGACCCUGGGGCAGUGGGAGCCGUUCCCUGUCCCAGAAUUCUGGGCCCUUUUCCCAAAUUCCGCUCUGCCUCUCUGGGAUUGGAUCCAGCCCCAUCCCGACUCCUCCUGGAGAAGGAAUUUUGGGAUCUGGGGACUUCACUGGGAAUCUCAGGACUCCAGGAAGGGUCUCCCUUCCCUUUUCCAUCCCUGAAUUCCAUAAAAAU
rnacentral:lncRNA from 1 species